AUGCAAGCAACCAAACAACCGGGGUUUAAAAAAAUACUGCAUCGAGCAGGCCUGGUUGGGCUUGAUGGAGGCAACCAAACUCGCCACGUCUGGGAAGUGGGCGCGGACGGCGACGGUCCUCCCGGCCCGUACGGUCCACGCUGCCGACGCCCUCCACGCAACGCAAAGGCAGGCUGGGACACUGCUAAAAAGAAAAAGGCAGGCUGGGACAGAGUCUUAGAAGCCACUCGGUUUCGUAUAAAGCCCCUCGGCUCGCCCCAAAUUGGCCAAAUCACAACACCGAGCCCAAACUAUGCCCCGGCUGCACCAGCUCCCAUUCCUCGCCGUCGAGCUCACCGGACACCGCCCGAAGCCAAGAUGACUACUUCCAGGCGCCUUGCUGACAGGAAGACAUCGAAGUUCCAGAAGAACAUCACCAAGAGGGGUUCGGUGCCUGAAACCACUGUGAAGAAGGGGAAUGACUAUCCUGUUGGACCUAUAGUGCUUGGAUUCUUCAUCUUUGUGGUCAUCGGAUCAUCUCUGUUUCAGAUAAUCAGGACAGCGAGCAGUGGUGGGAUGGCCUGA
rnacentral:rRNA from 1 species